GACUAGAAAACUCAGUUAGUUAGAGUAUGGUGCUGAUGAUGCCAAGGUUGCAAGUUCAAUCCCUGUAUGGGUCA